GACGAACGCUGGCGGCGUGCUUCAUACAUGCAAGUCGAACGAGAAGCUGACUUCGGUCAGUGGAAAGUGGCGGACGGGUGAGUAAUAUGUAGGAAAUCUGCCUUUAGGAGGGGGACAACAGAGGGAAACUUCUGCUAAUACCCCAUAUGAGCGUAGCUGAAAUGCUAUUCUUGAAAACUCCGGUGCCUAAAGAUGAGCCUGCAUCUGAUUAGCUAGUUGGUAGUGUAAUGGACUACCAAGGCGACGAUCAGUAGCUGGUUUGAGAGGAUGAUCAGCCACAAUGGGACUGAGACACGGCCCAUACUCCUACGGGAGGCAGCAGUAGGGAAUUGUGCGCAAUGGGCGAAAGCCUGACGCAGCAACGCCGCGUGAACGAUUAAGCCCUUCGGGGUGUAAAGUUCUGUCAGUGGGGACGAAACUUGACGGUACCCACAGAGGAAGCACCGGCUAACUCCGUG
rnacentral:rRNA from 1 species